rnacentral:lncRNA from 10 species
CCGUGCCCAGCCUGUUAUCUAGCUUUUUAAAACACUGCAAAGGAUUUUUGAAAAUUAUUUUUAUUUUAUUUUGUAGAGACAGGGUCUUACUAUGUUGCUCAGUCUGGUCUCAAACUCCUGGGCUCAAAUGAUCCUCCCACCUUAGCCUCCCAAGUAGCUGGGAUUACAGGCUCAAGCCACCAUGCCCAGCGUAUUUUUUUUUUAAAUUCCCAUCUUCAUGCCUAUGGAAAGACAUGGGUAGGUGGAGUGACAACUGAGGGGUGAGGGAGGUG